rnacentral:tmRNA from 1 species
GGGGAUGAUCGGUUUCGACAUUGCCUGCGCAAUUAUGAGAAGCGGGUCGAGGAUGCAGGGUUAUCUCGUAAACGAUCUCUACAAAACAAUAAGUGCCAAAUCAAACCGCACUGACUUCGCCCUCGCUGCCUAAGCGAGCGCACUAAGAAGUCCGCCAGGCCGGGAAUGCUCUCUACCCGGACCCUGACGUCAUUUAGAGAGAUUGCUCCUACUCUGAGCCGC